rnacentral:rRNA from 1 species
UUGGAGGGCAAGUCUGGUGCCAGCAGCCGCGGUAAUUCCAGCUCCAAUAGCGUAUAUUAAAGUUGUUGCAGUUAAAAAGCUCGUAGUUGAAUUUCGGAAUUUGUCGGUUGGUCGGGCUUCACUGUCCGCACUGACCUGAUAGAUUCCUACCUUCUGAAUAACCAGCAUGCUAUUAAGUUAGUGCGUUGGGGAAGCAGAGCUAUUACCUUGAAAAAAUUAGAGUGUUUAAAGCAGGC